GUUAACUACUUCAUCGUCAUUAUUCACGUGGUUCUCAUCCUGCUUACCUUGUGCAGAAGACUCUGUUGCUUCAGUAGGUGAUUGCAGAAGCCGGUAAGAUGACUUCUUCUCUAUUAAAUCAGAGUUCUCCGGAGUGCAUUUAUUUGUAUUUUCAUCUAUUAGUUCCCCGUUCUCCAUGAUUGGUCUAGAGAAAUAAAGAUGAGCACGAUGUGAUUCAUGACCUAAUGGUGAUAUGCCAUCCUCAAAACUUGAAGGGGAAGACUUAUGUGCAUCGUGUGAAAUAGAAAGACCUUCAAUUCUCAGACUAGCAAGAUCAUUUGCGUCCCCAGAGAGACGAUAAUCUGAAACACCAAUAGCAUUUGCAAGACCAUCAACACCCGAAGGAACUGACAAUGGUCUUCCUUGAGAUGAUUCAUUCAUGAUUCCGCCAAUAUGGUCAUAUUCACCUGGUACCUUAUCAUUGGCAUUUCCCCCAGGAAUUGUUACCUCCCGACCCCAGCUAAAAUCUCCAGUAGUGUCCCUACCACAUGCAG
rnacentral:misc_RNA from 1 species